GGAAGGAUCAUUGAUUCGAUCGAGAACCAACCCUGGUGACCAUCGUCGUCCCCUCCUCUGGAUGGGCGACCGCCCGUUUUGCCCUUCGGGUGAUGGGCGGUCGCCGAUCGUAGCAGAGGCGGCCGAUCGUCGCAUCGGUCUUCGGGCUUGCACCCGAUUCUGCCCCCUUCGGAGGGGUCACCCCUUUUUAGGGGCUGGAUCGGGAGCCUAUCCGGAGAGGCUAUGUUUUGACCAUGGAAACACGCCCUGAAGCAAGCCGGCACUCGGUGUCGGCACACACGAAGAGACAACUCUCAACAACGGAUAUCUUGGCUCCCGCAACGAUGAAGAACGCAGCGAAAUGCGAUACCUAGUGUGAAUUGCAGAAUUCCGUGAAUCAUCGAGUCUUUGAACGCAUAUCGCGCUCGAGGCCUCGGCCGAGAGCAUGUCUGCCUCAGCGUCUCUCUCAUCCCUCCCUUUCCUCAACGAAAGGGGAUCUGGUCGUUCCGAGUCCCGGCCACUCGGAUCGGUCGAAAUGCAGAAGGGCCCUCCCCUCAAAUCUAUAAAGGGCUUCGAAAGGUGGAUUGCCCUCGGGCGAUGCCGAUCGAGGCCUGGAGGGGUUGCAUGCUCUGAAGUUGGAGAAUCAGACUUGUGACCUGAGUUCAGGCAAGAUCACCCGCUGAACUUAAGCAUAUCAAU
rnacentral:rRNA from 1 species